rnacentral:rRNA from 1 species
ACUGUCAGGUGGGCAGUUUGACUGGGGCGGUCGCCUCCCAAAAGGUAACGGAGGCGCUCAAAGGUUCUCUCAGUACGGUCGGAAAUCGUACGUAGAGUGUAAAGGCAAAAGAGAGCUUGAUUGCAAGACAUACAGGUCGAGCAAGGAUGAAAAUCGGACUUAGUGAUCCGGUGGUUCUGCGUGGAAGGGCCAUCGCUCAACGGAUAAAAGCUACCCUGGGGAUAACAGGCUUAUCUCCCCCAAGAGUCCACAUCGACGGGGAGGUUUGGCACCUCGAUGUCGGCUCAUCACAUCCUGGGGCUGUAGUAGGUCCCAAGGGUUGGGCUGUUCGCCCAUUAAAGUGGUACGCGAGCUGGGUUCAGAACGUCGUGAGACAGUUCGGUCCCUAUCCGUCGCAGGCGUAGGAAAUUUGAGAAGACCUGUCCUUAGUACGAGAGGACCGGGAUGGACGUACCUCUGGUGUACCAGUUGUCCUGCCAAGGGCAUGGCUGGGUAGCUAUGUACGGAAUGGAUAAGCGCUGAAAGCAUCUAAGCGCGAAGCCAACUUCAAGAUAAGAUUUCCCACCGCAAGGGUAAGACCCCAGAAAGACUAUCUGGUUGAUAGGUCGAAGGUGUAAGUGCAGCAAUGUAUUUAGCUUAUCGAUACUA